rnacentral:rRNA from 1 species
UACGAAGGGUGCAAGCGUUACUCGGAAUUACUGGGCGUAAAGCGUGCGUAGGUGGUGCGUUAAGUCUGUCGUGAAAGCCCCGGGCUCAACCUGGGAAUGGCGAUGGAUACUGGCGCGCUAGAGUGCGGUAGAGGAGAGUGGAAUUCCCGGUGUAGCAGUGAAAUGCGUAGAUAUUCGCAAGAACACCAGUGGCGAAGGCGGCUCACUGGCCCGUUACUGACGCUGAGGCACGAAAGCGUGGGGAGCAAACAGG